rnacentral:rRNA from 1 species
GAUGAACGCUGGCGGCGUGCCUAAUACAUGCAAGUCGAGCGAACGGGCGAGAAGCUUGCUUCUCUGAUGUUAGCGGCGGACGGGUGAGUAACACGUGGAUAACCUACCUAUAAGACUGGGAUAACUUCGGGAAACCGGAGCUAAUACCGGAUAAUAUUUUGAACCGCAGGGUUCAAAAGUGAAAGACGGUCUUGCUGUCACUUAUAGAUGGAUCCGCGCUGCAUUAGCUAGUUGGUAAGGUAACGGCUUACCAAGGCAACGAUGCAUAGCCGACCUGGGAGGGUGGUCGGCCACACUGGAACUGAGACACGGUCCAGACUCCUACGGGAGGCAGCAGUAGGGAAUCUUCCGCAAAGGGCGAAAGCCUGACGGAGCAACGCCGCGUGAGUGAUGAAGGUCUUCGGAUCGUAAAACUCUGUUAUUAGGGAAGAACAUAUGUGUAAGUAACUGUGCACAUCUUGACGGUACCUAAUCAGAAAGCCACGGCUAACUACGUG